rnacentral:rRNA from 1 species
GCUGCUGGGUGGAUUAGUGGCGGACGGGUGAGUAACACGUGAGUAACCUGCCCUUAACUCUGGGAUAAGCCUGGGAAACUGGGUCUAAUACCGGAUAGGAGCGUCCACCGCAUGGUGGGUGUUGGAAAGAUUUAUCGGUUUUGGAUGGACUCGCGGCCUAUCAGCUUGUUGGUGAGGUAAUGGCUCACCAAGGCGACGACGGGUAGCCG